GAUGAACGCUGGCGGCGUGCUUAACACAUGCAAGUCGAACGGAAACAGGAUGAAGCCUAGCGAUUCCUGUUUUAGUGGCGGACGGGUGAGUAACGCGUGGGUAACCUGCCUUACACUGGGGGAUAACAGUUAGAAAUAGCUGCUAAUACCGCAUAAGCGCACAGGGCCGCAUGGCCUGGUGUGAAAAACUCCGGUGGUGUAAGAUGGACCCGCGUCUGAUUAGCUAGUUGGUGAGGUAACGGCCCACCAAGGCGAGGUGCAGUAGCCGGCCUGGGAGGGUGAACGGCCACAUUGGGACUGAGACACGGCCCAAACUCCUACGGGAGGCAGCAGUGGGGAAUAUUGCACAAUGGGGGAAACCCUGAUGCAGCGACGCCGCGUGAGUGAAGAAGUAUUUCGGUAUGUAAAGCUCUAUCAGCAAGGAAGAAAAUGACGGUACUUGACUAAGAAGCCCCGGCUAACUACGUGCCAGCCGCCGCCGUAA
rnacentral:rRNA from 1 species